UCAGAUUGACGCGGCGGCAUGCUUACACUGCAAGUCGAACGGCAGCACGGGUGCUUGCACUGGUGGCGAGUGGCGAACGGGUGAGUAAUACAUCGGAACAUGUCCUGUAGUGGGGGAUAGCCCGGCGAAAGCCGGAUUAAUACCGCAUACGAUCUAUGGAUGAAAGCGGGGGACUUCCGGGCCUCGCGCUAUAGGGUUGGCCGAUGGCUGAUAGCUAGUUGGUGGGGUAAAGGCCUACCAAGGCGACGAUCAGUAGCUGGUCUGAGAGGACGACCAGCCACACUGGGACUGAGACACGGCCCAGACUCCUACGGGAGGCAGCAGUGGGGAAUUUUGGACAAUGGGCGAAAGCCUGAUCCAGCAAUGCCGCGUGUGUGAAGAAGGCCUUCGGGUUGUAAAGCACUUUUGUCCGGAAAGAAAUCCUUGGCUCUAAUACAGUCGGGGGAUGACGGUACCGGAAGAAUAAGCACCGGCUAACUACGUGCCAGCAGCCGCGGUAAUACGUAGGGUGCAAGCGUUAAUCGGAAUUACUGGGCGUAAAGCGUGCGCAGGCGGUUUGCUAAGACCGAUGUGAAAUCCCCGGGCUCAACCUGGGAACUGCAUUGGUGACUGGCAGGCUAGAGUAUGGCAGAGGGGGGUAGAAUUCCACGUGUAGCAGUGAAAUGCGUAGAGAUGUGGAGGAAUACCGAUGGCGAAGGCAGCCCCCUGGGCCAAUACUGACGCUCAUGCACGAAAGCGUGGGGAGCAAACAGGAUUAGAUACCCUGGUAGUCCACGCCCUAAACGAUGUCAACUAGUUGUUGGGGAUUCAUUUCCUUAGUAACGUAGCUAACGCGUGAAGUUGACCGCCUGGGGAGUACGGUCGCAAGAUUAAAACUCAAAGGAAUUGACGGGGACCCGCACAAGCGGUGGAUGAUGUGGAUUAAUUCGAUGCAACGCGAAAAACCUUACCUACCCUUGACAUGGUCGGAAUCCUGAAGAGAUUCGGGAGUGCUCGAAAGAGAACCGGCGC
rnacentral:rRNA from 1 species